rnacentral:rRNA from 1 species
AUUGAACGCUGGCGGCAGGCCUAACACAUGCAAGACGAACGAGUGGCGGACGGGUGAGUAAUGUCUGGGAAACUGCCCGAUGGAGGGGGAUAACUACUGGAAACGGUAGCUAAUACCGCAUACCAUCGGAUGUGCCCAGAUGGGAUUAGCUAGUAGGUGGGGUAAAGGCUCACCUAGGCGACGAUCCCUAGCUGGUCUGAGAGGAGGACAAGCCAAAUGGGAACUGGGACACGGGCCAGACUCCUACGGGAGGCAGCAGUGGGGAAGAUUGCACAAUGGGCGCAAGCCUGAUGCAGCCAUGCCGCGUGUAUGAAGAAGGCCUUCGGGUUGUAAAGUACUUUCAGCGGGGAGGCGUUACCCGCAGAAGAAGCACCGGCUAACUCCGUGCCAGCAGCCGCGGUAAUUC